rnacentral:tRNA from 1 species
UGGGCCGCUAGCUCAGUUGGUAGAGCAGAUGACUCUUAAUCAUCGGGUCGUAGGUUCGAUCCCUACGCGGCCCAU